rnacentral:rRNA from 1 species
GAGCGCCGUAGCAAUACGGAGAGGCAGACGGGAGAGUACACGUGGGAACGUGCCCUUUGGUUCGGAACAACCCAGGGAAACUUGGGCUAAUACCGGAUAAGCCCUUACGGGGAAAGAUUUGUCGCCGAAGGAUCGGCCCGCGUCUGAUUAGCUAGUUGGUGGGGUAAUGGCCCACCAAGGCGACGAUCAGUAGCUGGUCUGAGAGGAUGAUCAGCCUCACUGGGACUGAGACACGGCCCAUACUCCUACGGGAGGCAGCAGUGGGGAAUAUUGGACAAUGGGCGCAAGCCUGAUCCAGCCAUGCCGCGUGAGUGAUGAAGGCCCUAGGGUUGUAAAGCUCUUUUGUGCGGGAAGAUAAUGACGGUACCGCAAGAAUAAGCCCCGGCUAACUUCGUGCCAGCAGCCGCGGUAAU